GUAUUACCAGCUCAGUCGGUAGAGCACGGGACUCUUACUUGCAAGGUCAUAGGUUUGAGCCUAGAUGAACCA